rnacentral:rRNA from 1 species
GACGUAGGGCGCGAGCGUUGUCCGGAUUUAUUGGGCGUAAAGAGCUCGUAGGCGGCUUGUUGCGUCGACCGUGAAAACCCGGGGCUCAACUUCGGGCUUGCGGUCGAUACGGGCGGGCUAGAGUUCGGUAGGGGAGACUGGAAUUCCUGGUGUAGCGGUGAAAUGCGCAGAUAUCAGGAGGAACACCGGUGGCGAAGGCGGGUCUCUGGGCCGAUACUGACGCUGAGGAGCGAAAGCGUGGGGAGCGAGCAGG